rnacentral:rRNA from 1 species
CCUACGGGUGGCUGCAGUGGGGAAUAUUGGACAAUGGGGGCAACCCUGAUCCAGCCAUGCCGCGUGUGUGAAGAAGGCCCUCGGGUUGUAAAGCACUUUCAGUGAGGAAGAACACCUGGUGGUUAAUACCCAUCAGGAAAGACAUCACUCACAGAAGAAGCACCGGCUAACUCCGUGCCAGCAGCCGCGGUAAUACGGAGGGUGCGAGCGUUAAUCGGAAUUACUGGGCGUAAAGCGCGCGUAGGUGGCUUGAUAAGCCGGUUGUGAAAGCCCCGGGCUCAACCUGGGAACGGCAUCCGGAACUGUCAAGCUAGAGUGCAGGAGAGGAAGGUAGAAUUCCCGGUGUAGCGGUGAAAUGCGUAGAGAUCGGGAGGAAUACCAGUGGCGAAGGCGGCCUUCUGGACUGACACUGACACUGAGGUGCGAAAGCGUGGGUAGCAAACAGGAUUAGAUACCCUAGUAGUC